rfam:Salmo salar isolate Sally breed double haploid chromosome ssa20, whole genome shotgun sequence.
UGCACGCACUACUGUAAGUUGUUUUGGAUAAAAGCAUCUGCUAAAAUGGCAUAUA